GUGGAUUAGAUACCCUAGUAGUCCACGCCCUAAACGAUGUCAACUGGUUGUCGGGUCUUCAUUGACUUGGUAACGUAGCUAACGCGUGAAGUUGACCGCCUGGGGAGUACGGUCGCAAGAUUAAAACUCAAAGGAAUUGACGGGGACCCGCACAAGCGGUGGAUGAUGUGGAUUAAUUCGAUGCAACGCGAAAAACCUUACCUACCCUUGACAUGUAUGGAACCCUGCUGAGAGGUGGGGGUGCCCGAAAGGGAGCCAUAACACAGGUGCUGCACGGCCGUCGUCAACU
rnacentral:rRNA from 1 species